rnacentral:rRNA from 1 species
UACAGGGGGGGCAAGCGUUGUUCGGAAUUACUGGGCGUAAAGGGUUUGUAGGUGGCCACUUAAGUCAGACGUGAAAUCCCUCAGCUUAACUGGGGAACUGCGUCUGAUACUGCGUGGCUUGAGUGCAGGAGAGGAACGCGGAAUUCCAGGUGUAGCGGUGAAAUGCGUAGAUAUCUGGAGGAACACCGGUGGCGAAGGCGGCGUUCUGGACUGUAACUGACACUGAAAAACGAAAGCCAGGGGAGCAAACGGG